rnacentral:rRNA from 1 species
ACAACGGGUGGAGCUUGCGGUUUAAUUGGAUUCAACGCCGGAAUCUUACCGGGACCGACAGCAAUAUGAAGGCCAGGCUGAAGACUUUGCCGGAUUAGCUGAGAGGUGGUGCAUGGCCGUCGUCAGUUCGUACUGUGAAGCAUCCUGUUAAGUCAGGCAACGAACGAGACCCUUGCAUCUAGUUGCCAGCAGAUCCCUUCGGGAUGCUGGGUACCCUAGAUGGACCGCCACUGCUAAAGUGGAGGAAGGAGAGGGCGACGGUAGGUCAGUAUGCCCCGAAUCUCCCGGGCUACACGCGGCCUACAAUGGACAGGACAAUGGGCUCCGAUCCCGAAAGGGAAAGGCAAUCCUUUAAACCUGUUCUUAGUUCGGAUUGAGGGCUGUAACUCGCCCUCAUGAAGCUGGAAUCUCUAGUAAUCGCGUGUCAUUAUCGCGCGGUGAAUACGUCCCUGCUCCUU